CAGCUGACGCGGCCGCUCGCCUCCCCGGCCAUCUGCUCAGCGCGGGGCCGCCCAGGGCCGAGGGCCACGCGCGAACGGCCACCGCGCCACUGAGCCGCCGCCACGCUGCCCCCCGUCCCCCCCCCCGCCCCGCCCCGGCGGAGCGCGACCCGCGCGACCCGGCCACGCGGCGGCCCAGAGGGGACACCCCCCCCAAUCUGGAAGGGGUAGGGGGCGGCGAUGGUGCUGACUGUUCUGGGGCUGUCUGGGUUUUGCCCCUGUGUUCCAGAUGAGAAACUGAGGCACAGAGCGGGGGGAUCCCGCAGUCCAGGGGCUGCCCUUGCAAGGGAAGACCUGCUCAUGUUGGGGGGCAGGACUCCGACCUGACAGCUGUGACUCCUCGAACUGGGCCAGCAGGGGCAGGGGAGGAAGCCUCCCCCUGAUAAAAAUGCGAUGGAAUCAACUUUCUUCUACCCUCACCCUCCCUUGUGGCUAGAGCCUUUAACAAGACACGGCAGAUGCACAUCCAAGACCCAGAGAAAGAGAGGAAUUCUCCAGACGGCCCCUCCCCGACCUCAGAAAGGUACAGGGCGCCCAGCCAGUCUCCGUGGCCUCUCCACGGCCUCUGGGUCAUGUCAGGGGAGCUGCUAGCCUGGAGCAAGAUCACUGAAGACCAGCAGUUUCCACUGGGGCCCCUUCCUCCCUUCUCACCAGACGGAAUCACACAUUAUAAAAUAAUCCAUAAAAAUGCAGUUAUCAAAAUUAUCUUCCAUAUGCUACAUCCAUGGAGAGCCCACCACCAGGACUCACGUCGGCCUUUAGCUUUUCCUUAAAAGAAGAAAAAAAAAAAGACCAAGAAGAAGAAAAAGAAAAAAAAAAUAACAAUAAACCCAAGUCCUAAUAC